rnacentral:tRNA from 1 species
GCAAAGAGGGCUAAGUGGUUUAAAGCCUAACAUUAGAAUUGUUAUGUAGGGCCCUUGUUUAUCAAGGGUUCGAAUCCCUCUCUUUCCA